rnacentral:tRNA from 1 species
AGCACGGUGGUGCAGUGGUCAGCACUGUUGACUUGCCAGGAGGUUACGGGUUCAAGUCCCGGCUGGCUG